UGGAAAUCACAGUCUCCAAAAUUCAAGGCCAUCAAUCGCAGUGACAAGAACAAUGAACCCCACAGGCAGAAGUUGAAGAACAAGACCAGAAGAGAAAACACUAAGCAGAACCUGGACUGGAGUUGGUGUAUUGCACCAAAGUAAAAGACUCUGGGGUUAGGUGAGGGGUGGGAGGAGAGUACAGGUCCUGGAACAUGAUAGCAGAGGACCUAGUGGGGGUUGUAUUGUUAUGUGGAAAACUGGGAAAUGUUAUGUAUGCACAAACUAUUUACUUUUGACUGUAAACCAUUAAUCCCCCAAUAAAAUAAAAUAAAUACAUUUCUGUGCUUUAAA